AGUGAAACUAAAAUUUGAGGAAAUGCAGCCACGCGAAAGAAGAUGAUUUUCCACCUACAGACAGAAGAUACUACUAUACGGAAUCGGACCCCCAGAAUGUUUUUCCCCCCUGGCGACUCUGUCACAGCGUGGCAUGCAACAUGGAAACUUUGGCCGGCAGAGGUCCUCCCUCGUCC